UCACUAUAAGAAUAAAACACCAGCCAUCAAGGAGCAGAAAGUGAGAACAAUCUUGAGUAAUAAGAUAAAGUGAGAACAAUCUAUGGUAUUGUAAUGCAGUCAUUAACAAUGUGAAGAUUGCUGCAGAAAACAAUGACAUAAAAUUGUGUCAUGUGAAUUGAAACUUAGCACCACAAGUGCUAAACUUUGCACAUAUAGUGACUCAGAAUAACAUGGGUAUACCUGCUACAGCAGCAGCUAUUAACUCACAAGGAAAGAUAUCUGAUAUAACACAGAUGAUACGGCCUUUGUUUGGGGGUUUGAUAAACUCUAAUUGCCUAGACAUGGCCUAUGAAGUUUUCCAGGCUUUAGUUUUUGGAUCUUGAUUAUUUGGAUUGGUAGUUUAUACAGAUUUUUUUAAACAACAGCUGAAGCAAUGGCUAAGGGAAAAAAAAGGGAAUUGUUGCGGACAAUGAAAAGAAAAAGCUAACCACCGUAGGGAAGGGAAAAGAAAAUUCAUGUCCAGUGGUUCAAGUUCUUCGAGAAAGAAAUACUGGUGUUGUUAUCCGCGAUGAGUAGGACAUUAUGCGCUUGCGUGAGGAUAAACGAAAGGAUGAAGCAAUGGCUAUGGAAAAACAAAAAGGAACAGUCGCGGAUAAGGGAAAGAAAAAAAUUAACCACUGUAGGGAAUGGAAAAGAAAAUUUACGUCCAACGAUA